GAUGAACGCUGGCGGCGUGCCUAACACAUGCAAGUCGAACGAGAUGCGUAUCGGAAAGCUUCGGCCGGAAGAUGCGUUAUCUAGUGGCGGACGGGUGAGUAACACGUGGGUAACCUGCCUUAUGGAGGGGGAUAACAGAGAGAAAUCACUGCUAAUACCGCAUAAGCACACAGUACCGCAUGGUAGAGUGUGAAAAGAUUUAUCGCCAUAAGAUGGACCCGCGUCUGAUUAGCCAGUUGGCAGGGUAAAAGCCUACCAAAGCGACGAUCAGUAGCCGAUCUGAGAGGAUGACCGGCCACAUUGGGACUGAGACACGGCCCAAACUCCUACGGGAGGCAGCAGUGGGGAAUAUUGCACAAUGGGGGAAACCCUGAUGCAGCGACGCCGCGUGAGUGAAGAAGUAUUUCGGUAUGUAAAGCUCUAUCAGCAGGGAAGAUAAUGAC
rnacentral:rRNA from 1 species